rnacentral:lncRNA from 1 species
GGCAUAGUACUCAUUUGUGAAACUGAGUGGUAUAGGUACAAAGCCCAGGAGAGCACUAUGUCCCAUAUGGGGCUGCUAAUAUCAAUGUCUGCCUCCAAGUGUGCUGAGGGCAUGGAGGCUUCCAGUCACUAUAAAUGGAUACUUUGCUGUGGCCAAGGCCUAAGUCAGGGCUGGCCCCUCUGUGCUUGAAGAGGCUGGACAGCACUAAACUGCAUCAUCUUCUGUCACUUCUGAGACACCAGAGGACCCGCCAUCUUGGACACUUCUCCUACAAUGCCUGCUGGUGAUCUACCCUGUGGUCCUAGUGUCUGGCUGAUGUUACAGAGGGAACAAACAUGCACACAGUGGAACAGCAGAUAAGGGCUCGACUAUAUCCAUGAUGUGAAAGCAGACGCUUGGACAAGCCUCCGAGCCACAAGCCCAAGUGCUGUGCUAACAGCCGGCCAACCCAACGAAUGGGGCUUCCAGACAAGACUCAGACACUUGAGAUAUGGCGGGAGACAAAAGCCACGUUAAGAAAGCCCACUGAAUGCAGGUGUGUUCCUAUAAACCUUCAGUCAGAGCCUCUAGGCCCCUGCUGUGGAGGAAGAUGUGGGGUUUGACUGGCUGCUCCGCAUCCAUGAUUUGGUCAGCCAGGAAGUGGCAGGCACUUGGGGGACCUGGGAUGGGGCAAGCAGUGACAGGAGACUCGAAUUGGUAGGGAGGAGGUCACAGACAAAGCUGGAGACACUCCUGAGAAAAUGGCUGGGGAUGCUGCCUUCACCAUAUGGAGUUUCCUCCUCACACAUGUCAAAAAGAGUACCAAUACUCUCCGGGAGCUACUGAGACGGGAUGGCAUAGCUACUGCCCUUGCAACAGGGCCCAUAUACAACAGCCUGUUCACCAGUCCAGUCACACUAGUGUAGUGAGUGUCCAUGAAGGGCUGGCAUGUCAUCUCCACAGACUUAAAUACUCCAUGGUCACACAGUAGCUGGGAGCACUGGAGAGAAGCAAGGAAGCUCUCUCGGGAGGGAGACAGGCUACCUUCAGAGACGCAGUGCAUGCUCCUGAAAUCCCAGGGGAUUUUUUUAGGUGGAGCAGUAUAAGGGUAGAUAACUCAUGCCAGGACUCAACCCCAGCUCCCUCCUGUCUUGCCCGGAAGCUGGUGCUGACUCAGGUGUUUUGAUGGUAAAUUUCCCUUGUCAACAGAUGGGAUUUAGAGUCCUACGGAAGCACGCACUGGUGGGUAUGUCUGUGAGGAUGUUUCCAGAGAGGUUCAACUGAGGCUGAAAGACCAGCCCUGAGUAUGGGUUGUUCUAUCCUGUGGGGUGGGGUUCCCGGCUGAAUAAAGAGAAGGCCAGCU